rnacentral:lncRNA from 1 species
CCAACAAUCAGUUUGCAUCAAACACAUCCAAACCUAGGUUUCAUCCUAGGGGUUGCAUGUCAAUACAAACAAGCAAUCGAAAACCAACUAAUAACCCACAAUCAUAACCCCAAGUAAGCAUCACAAUGCCUCAGCAUCCAAAUAAGAAACAAUCAGAUUGCAUCAUUGACAAAUUAACCAACAAUCAGUUUGCAUCAAACACAUCCAAACCUAGGUUUCAUCCUAGGGGUUGCAUGUCAAUACAAACAAGCAAUCGAAAACCAGCAAAUAACUCAUAAUCAUAACCGCACAUAGUUAGGGUUCAUCCAAACCAACAAUCACAACCUCAGAUUCCAAAUAACCAAAACUCAAAGAGUGAUAGAACCAAAAAUUAUCUGAGCUGGAUUGAGAGAAACUAGGGCUCGAUCUGUGAGCAGAGGAAGGACUUUAGCUGUGUUGCGAUCUCCGACCAAGGGAGAUGCGACGGCGUCAAGCCAGGGCGGCGACCGGCGAUUUCAGACAGAAAAGAUAGGGUUCGACUUCUUUCCUUCAAUUGUGCGCUUCCAGUGAGGGAUUAGAGAGGGAAACCGACACAAAGAGAAAAAGAGGGAUAGAACGGUGAAAAUCAGUCGCCAGAUUUUACAGAAGCGGCGCCGGAGUUUCAGAGAAUGAUUCAUCAGCGGCGGCGGCUCAGACCUCUGCAGUUCGCGGAAGAGAAAGGGAUAGGGGGCCUCAGCGGCGAGGAUGGCGGCGAGGACGGCGGCGCGAAUAGCUAUGCGGCGGCGAGGACCACCGCCUAGUUUGAAGGGAGUAAGGCGGUAGAAGAGAGAAGGAAGAGGAGAGAACGGUGAGAGAGAGAGAGAGAUUUGGGGAGGAGAUGAGACGCAGCGAGGGUGGGCGGCAGCGGCGCGAGGCAGCAGCGAGGGUGGGCGGCGACGGGCCGGCGCGGGGCAGCGGCGCCGGCGGCGGAGUCGAGAGGGAAGAGAGAGAGUCGAGAGACAGACGAACAAAAACUAGG